AUUGAUGGUAUUAGUUCUGGAAGAACAUUUCUGAAGGCAACACCUAAGGAUAGGUCGGCGGCGGAUUAGGCUGUUGGCGAGGUAAUGGCUCACCAAACCGAAGAUCUGUACGGGCUCUGAAAGGAGUAGCCCGGAGAAGGGCACUGAGAUACUGGCCCUAGCCCUACGGGGUGCAGCAGGCGCGAAACCUUUACAAUGCACGAAAGUGUGAUAGGGGAACCCAAAGUGCUUAGCUUUGCUAAGCUUUUGCCAAGACCAAACCUCUUGGCGAAUAAGUGGUGGGAAAGACUGGUGCCAGCCGCCGCGGUAACACCAGCGCCACAAGUGGGAACCAUGUUUAUUGGGCCUAAAGCGUUCGUAGCCGGUUAUGUAAAUCCUUUGUGAAAUCGUUAAGCUUAACUUAACGAACUGCAGGGGAGACUGCAUAACUAGGGACCGGAAGGGGUAAGGAGUAUUUUUUGGGGAGCGGUAAAAUGUUAUAAUCCAAAAAAGACUACCUGUGGCGAAGGCGCCUAACCAGUACGGGUCCGACGGUGAGGAACGAAAGCUAGGGGAGCGAUCCGGAUUAGAUAGAGCUUUUUGCCGGUGAACAUGUUCACCUAUAAAAACCUCGGAAAAUUCAUUUAAGUAUGACGUUUUCCUUCGGAAAA
rnacentral:rRNA from 1 species